rnacentral:piRNA from 1 species
UGCUAUUUCCGAUCUUUCAGGUUCUAGA